rnacentral:rRNA from 1 species
CAGCAGCCGCGGGAAUACAGAGGGUGCGAGCGUUAAUCGGAUUUACUGGGCGUAAAGCGUGCGUAGGCGGCUUUUUAAGUCGGAUGUGAAAUCCCUGAGCUUAACUUAGGAAUUGCAUUUGAUACUGGGAAGCUAGAGUAUGGGAGAGGAUGGUAGAAUUCCAGGUGUAGCGGUGAAAUGCGUAGAGAUCUGGAGGAAUACCGAUGGCGAAGGCAGCCAUCUGGCCUAAUACUGACACUGAGGCACGAAAGCGUGGGGAGCAAACAGGAUUAGAUACCCCGGUAGUCCCUGUCUCUUAUAC